rnacentral:rRNA from 1 species
AACGAACGCUGGCGGCAGGCUUAACACAUGCAAGUCGAGCGCAUCCUUCGGGGUGAGCGGCGGACGGGUGAGUAACGCGUGGGAACGUGCCCUCUUCUACGGAAUAGCCUCGGGAAACUGAGAGUAAUGCCGUAUACGCCCGCAAGGGGAAAGAUUUAUCGGAGGAGGAUCGGCCCGCGUUGGAUUAGGUAGUUGGUGGGGUAACGGCCUACCAAGCCGACGAUCCAUAGCUGGUUUGAGAGGAUGAUCAGCCACACUGGGACUGAGACACGGCCCAGACCCAAAGGGGAGGAGGAGGGGGGAAUCUUGGAAAAAGGGGGCAAACCUGAACCAAGCCUGCCGGCGUGAUGGUUAAGGCCCUUGGGGUUGAAAAGUUUUUUCGGCUGGAAAGAAAAGGAGGGUCCAGGAAAAAGAGGCCCCGGCAAACCCCGGC